AUAACAUUAAUAUGUCAAAUUAAAAUUAUUAUAAAAUAAUAUUUCUUU
rnacentral:tRNA from 1 species